AGAGUUUGAUCCUGGCUCAGAACGAACGCUGGCGGCAUGCCUAACACAUGCAAGUCGAACGGGAUCCUAGCUUGCUAGGUGAGAGUGGCGGACGGGUGAGUAACACGUGGGAAUCUGCCUUUUGGUUCGGGAUAACCACGGGAAACUGCGGCUAAUACCGAAUGCCCUCGAGAGAGGAAAGAUUUAUCGCCAGAAGAGGAGCCCGCGUCCGAUUAGGUAGUUGGUGGGGUAAAGGCCUACCAAGCCGACGAUCGGUAGCUGGUCUGAGAGGAUGAUCAGCCACACUGGGACUGAGAUACGGCCCAGACUCCUACGGGAGGCAGCAGUGGGGAAUAUUGGACAAUGGGGGCAACCCUGAUCCAGCAAUGCCGCGUGAGUGAUGAAGGCCUUAGGGUUGUAAAGCUCUUUUGCCAGGGAAGAUGAUGACUGUACCUGGAGAAUAAGCCCCGGCUAACUUCGUG
rnacentral:rRNA from 1 species